rnacentral:lncRNA from 1 species
AGUCCGUGACGUGCGGUGUAGUUGGGGAAACGCACCGUGGUUCCCCGUCGGGUCAGGAGAUCCCGAGCCCCAGGCUGGCGUGGGCGAAGCGUACAAUCCCUUCACCUUUCGUCACCCAGAGGCACAAGAAUCCAGUUCGCGCCAACUGACCUGUUUCUUCCUUCCUCCCCGGCACUCUGGGAGUCCUGAGAUUGCCUUGCUCGGUUCGUCUCAGACUUGCUAGAUCUGAGCAGCUGCUGCUCCUCCACCAAGGGUGCUCACAUUCUCCAGGAAACUCCCUUAAGGGUUAGCAACCGCCGAGUAGGUUUCGGUCCCAAGAUAGAAAGGCUACAAGUGCAAAAAGCUGAAUGAAAAAUGGAAAGGUUACUGCUGAAAUAUUUACAGAUGGAAGGAUAUGAUGUCUAGAAUUUGUUUCAAACAAGACGAGGUCUUACUACCAUAGCCCAGGCUGGGCUCAACUGAUCCUCCUGCCUCAGCCUCCCAAAGUGCUGGGAUUACAGGUGUGAGCCACCACGCCCGCCAUCAAGCAUUUACUUAUUGAAACACAUAUCUU